rnacentral:RNase_P_RNA from 1 species
ACCGCAGACCGCCUUAUCGUCGUCCUGAUUUAUUGGGAGGGAGGAAAGUCCGGACACCACAGAGAAGCAUAGCGGGUAACACCCGUCGUCUCGAUUCUAUCGGGAAAGGACAAGUGCAACAGAAAGUAUGUACAGGUAGUGCUGUAGUGAAACCAGGUAAACUCUAUGCGGUGAAAUUUCAAGUAUAUCGACAUCUAAGGGCUUCUCGUCCGUUGUUGAAGGGUAGAAAGAUAAAGCUUGUUGGUAACAGCAAGAUUAGAUAAAUGAUAAGGCUCCGAUUUAUCGGUGACAGAAUCCGGCUUAUAGGUCUGCUUUUUUU